rnacentral:rRNA from 1 species
UACGUAGGUGGCGAGCGUUGUCCGGAAUUAUUGGGCGUAAAGGGUGCGUAGGCGGUUUUUUAAGUGGGAUGUGAAAUACCUGGGCUUAACUCAGGGAUUGCAUUUCAAACUGGAAGACUAGAGUGCAGGAGAGGAAAGUGGAAUUCCCAGUGUAGCGGUGAAAUGCGUAGAGAUUGGGAGGAACACCAGUGGCGAAGGCGACUUUCUGGACUGUAACUGACGCUGAUGCACGAAAGCGUGGGGAGCAAACAGG